GCCCGAGUGGUGGAAUGGUAGACACGAGAGACUUAAAAUUUCUUGACCGAUUUUGGUCGUGUGGGUUCGAGUCCCACCUCGGGCA
rnacentral:tRNA from 1 species